rnacentral:tRNA from 1 species
ACUGAAAUAGUUUAAAAAAAAUAUUGAUUUGUGGUUUCAAAGUUAUAUAAUAAAUUUUUAGUU